rnacentral:misc_RNA from 1 species
UGAAAUCUUGAUUUUUAGGGUUUUUUUUUAAUAUAUAUAAAAAAAGAGAAAAUCUUAAACCCAUUUUGUGCUAAGAGAUAAUUGGGUAUGACCACCUUAUACAUCCCUAUCUCUAGCAGAAAGGAGGUCAAAGGCAUCUCAACUGACCUUCCCAGUUGUAAUCUCUGAUGCUAGGAGCAAUGUACCUCCAAUCUGUUUGUUUAUAUGGCAUAAAGCAAACAUAGUGCCUGG